GGAGAGAAAGUGGGUCUUAUAUAAAGGGCCAUUUGCCACACAUGAUUUCCACAGGAUUCCGGAAUCUCCCCGAACUUGAGAGAGUACUUCUGCACUUUAAGGCCAUAUCAUUCCAAUAAUAGGCAAUGAAGAUGAUUUAUUCCAUUUACGUGGAGGCAGGGAAAUGAAGAUUCCAUGAGGCCAAGCGCCUUACCCUGGGGAUAUGAGGAAGAAGUUGCCCAGCCAGAAAAGGGAAUCAGAGAAGGUUGGAAUCAGAGCCCUGUGCGUUUCCAACUUAAGAAGAGACUCGUUCCUUAUGUAUAAAGACAUUUCUGCUUCUCUUCAGAUUGAUAUAGUUGAGGGAAAGUGGUUUAUGGGUCCUCCUGAGACUCUCAAAAAUGUUAGCUAUUUGUUUCCAGGACCUGCAAUCACAAAUCAUGUGUUGGUAGUACUAACCCUUCCAACUCUGAGAUCUAAAUUUACUUAGUAAAUUUCAGAUUGUUCCUAUAAAUGGAUUAAAAGUGGAAUUUAAUAAAAACAAUAAAAAUCAAAAGCAACAAAGAAAAUAAAAGAUUUUCUCCCUAAGCAGAUAAGUGACGUACAUGUUUAUUGGGGUUUUACUUUUAGAUAUUUGUCUCAACAUUGUAACUUGUAAGGUAACCCACAGAUUAUUUUACAAUCUCCUCUUCUGAGUGUUUAAAGGGCACUCAGUAAAGACUUACUGGUUGAAACACUGAUACCCCUCCCAGUUAUAGAUCGACCAGUGACUAGUAUAGAAAGUUUUAUAAUUGAUAACACAGUGUAUACACAGCUACUUAUUCAAAUAUUCAGUUAAUAAAGCACAUUUACUGGUUUAACCAAGUAAGUUGUGAUUAGAAGAAUGAGCCAGAAUUAGCCAUUAUGACUUCAACUCAGUUAACUUUGAUAAAUAAACAUCUCGUGUGAUUUCUUCUUCAAAAGAUAAAACUUUGACAACAGGAGUCUGAUGUAUGACUUUUAAAAAACAGAAAGAGAUUGAAUGUGUCAAGAGUCAGAAAAACAUACAUUGUCCAAAUUUUGUUUUCCAAAAAAUCACUUAUCCUAGCCAAGAGUAAAUAACAGAGGGUCCUUGAUCAUCAGUAUUGGGUAGUAUGAAAGAUGGAAAUCACCAUCACUGGGUAGGUUUUUUUCCAUAAUAAACUGCAAUAUUGGUUUAUGUAGCAUCCAUAUAACUCUUUUCUGUUAUACUUUUGGAGUUGCCGUGUUCAAAGUAACACCUGGAAAUUGUUGACUAUGAUACAGAAAAAUAGAAUUGAAUUUGGUCUUUUUCUUUUUCUCCUCAUUUAUUGAAUUUGGUCUUAUGAGCUAGGAUUCAGCAUCGAGGUACUGCAGCAUACUUCUGAAAAUAAGCCUUGCAAAUGUUUUCCACUAGAAUAUUUAUGGAUAUAGUAAUUUAGGCAGUCAUUCCCUAGAGUAGAUUAUGACAUGCCAGUAGCUGAAAGAUGAGAAUAAAACCUAAAGUGUCCAGUUGCAACUAGAGAGAGCCAUAAAAAACCCACAUUAAAAAUAUUUUUAAAAAGCACCUUUUUUUUUUUUUUUUAGAUUGGUACUAAUUUAAAAAGAUCCACACAUUUGGGAAAUUGUCUUUAUGACUUUUUCUCACAGACCGCUUUCCUUCCUGUUUGUGGAUUAAAAUAAAUAACGCCUGAGAUUUUAAUUUUAGUUUCUCAAACAAGACAAAACCAGUUGAACUGCUUUAUAUUGUCUCCUGAGCCAGGAAUUGAGGUCAACCGUCACGAAAAAAUAACCACAAUUUGACUUUUUGUGUUUUGUAGGUUAAUACCAGCAAAGAAGGGGGUGAGUUGUUUAUAUCCUUAAAAAUAAUUUCAGAAGAAAUGAAAGUCUUCAGCUCACUAUUAAUCAUAUUAUUUCCCAUUUUUUUUCCGGUGAAGAGUUUAUAAAUGCCAGUAAAGGCCUUCCUUUGUAGAAGUUACUGAGUUUAAAUACAUGUGAAAUGCCAUUGCUUCGAUAGAUAGCUUCAUAGACAACGAGAUCAAAGCUGUUAACAUACAUUUCAAGAGCCUUGGCCGACUGAUGUUCUUACAACCGUCAUAUUUUAGAGACCUUUCUAAAUCAUGAGUUACAUGAAAUAGAGUAAAGAACCUAAGAAAAAAUCAGGCAAGAUUGUUUCAUUGAGCUGUCCCUUUCCCCUCUGGGGCCUAUUAACUACUACACAAACAAGGCUGCCUCUUAUUUCGUCUUAUUUGGCGUUGGUACACACCUCUAAGUGAGUGGAGCCAGUCCUCUAGAACUGGCUGUCUCCUCUUGAACAGUUUGUUAUUCAUAUUUCAGUCGCUUUUUUUUUCAUGCCUCUUUUUCACUUCAUGACGUCAGAGUAUCUGAUACUGAUCAAAUCAAUGGAGGUAGCCUAGGGUACAAGCAUUUCGGAAUAGGAUGUUAAUGCAGUACUGGGUAUAUCUCACUCACUGGCACAAGCUUUUUGAUGUUGGAGCAGAAAAAAACUGUUCAGAAAUGUCUCCUUGCCUCCCUCGCAGGGUUAUAGUGGUUUACCAGGCCAGGAAUUAAACAGAGAAGAAAGGAAUCCAUUUUUAAAGGCACAUCCUUUAGAUGACAGAUGCAGAAGCCACAUGUAUUGGCAUUUCAUUACUUAGAAUCUUAUUCGAGUAUCAACGUUUAUCUGAACACAAAGGAGGACGGAGCCAAAGAUUCAAACUGUGUUUAAUUUGGACUCACGUAAUUCAUGCUUGGGAGAAACUUAGGGGUACGGAGUCUUCUGCCCAUUCACGUGAAACACCCAUUACCAUUAAUAGGGAUAACCAUAUUUGUUGAAAAGAAAACCUGUCCUUUAGAACUAACUUAGACCUUAGGGACAGAAAGAUGUCCCCAGCUAAUAGCUGAUGGGAAUUGUACAGUCUCAAAUUUGCUCCCUGCUGACCUGGCAUCACUGAAUUUGGAAAAGCAGAGCCAGGUUCACCCGGGGGUAGCAGAGAAGAAAACUGUUUUGAAACAAAAAAAAAAAAAAAAAGAAAGGAAGGUGAUUAUACUUCAGGCUUUUAAAUUAAGUCACAGAAGUCCCUGCCUAAUUAUAUCAUGAAAACAAGCUCCAAGUUCCUAGGAAAGAGAAGGUAGUGGUAGAUUUAUUCUUGUUUACUCCUUUCAACCAACCACACUUGAAAAGGUUUUCUUAAAAUAAUGAAAUGACUCAUCUGAUUAGAUGAAAUAUUUCAAUUUGGAAACCAAAUGACAUUUCAUUUUCAAGGAUUCAUGGUAAGGGAAAACAGAUGGGAAAAAUAAUCUUGAGCCACAGAAAAUCACAAACCUUGGGUUAUAUCCUAUCACUAACCUUCUUGACCCCAGAUGUGAACAAGAGGCCAGCCAGUCACUGAGGCAAUACAGUAUUAAAAAACCGUUGUGGGUGGAGCAUAUUGGGAGGUGCUGAGGGGAGACAAGAAGUAACGGAAAAGCAUAGUUCUUACCUUUAAAAAGUGUAUGACGGGGCUUCCCUGGUGGCGCAGUGGUUGAGAGUCCGCCUGCCGAUGCAGGGGACACGGGUUCGUGCCCCGGUCCGGGAAGAUCCCACAUGCCGCGGAGCGGCUGGGCCCGUGAGCCAUGGCCGCUGAGCCUGCGCGUCCGGAGCCUGUGCUCCGCAACGGGAGAGGCCACAACAGUGAGAGGCCCGUGUACCGCAAAAAAAAAAAAAAAAAAAAAGUGUAUGAUGAAGUCUAAAUAUUAGUACAAAGCAUGUGGAUGUUUGCAUUCACUUUCUCGCCUUGACAUUUUCUCUCCCCUUGGAGAGGAUAAUAAACUACAGGGUCGGGAGGAGGAAGACUUGGGCUUCUCAGUAGUCUCUCAAAUGGGGUGUAAACAGAUCUCUGAACAAUCAGAGCCCUUCACUAGCUUCAGAACAGGAUAAGGAUUAAGAAGACAAGCUUUGAAAAUAGAUAAACCUGAGCCUGUCACUUGAAAGUUUCCAAGUCUCUGUUCCCGUAUCUGUAAAAUGGAGCAAUAAUGCUCAACCACAGGGUGGCUGAGGAAAUCAAAUAAGAUGAAAUGUAUGAAAUACUUAGCACAGGGUUUGGCAAACAGCAAGAACUCGAAUGAACAGUAGUCUUUACUAUUAUUAAUAAUGGAUAGUGGCUAAUAUUCAUUUAACAUCUAGUGUCCUUUGCAUGGAAUGUUCCUGACCCUCCCCUCUGGUGUUUAUCUGUGGCUCAACUGGCCACACAGGGAGUGUCAAGUACAGCUCUGUAACCCUGGUGCCUUUCUUGGGUUUUAUCCAGAGACCAACUCAGCACAAUGCCCCUGCGGGAAGGAUGGGGUGGGAGUUGGGGAUAAAAAGGUGAAAAAUCAUGCCAGGUGCAGUGGGGAUUACGAUGAGAAGCAUGCCUUAGCCAAGCGAGAGCCACUGCAGACACCUCUUGGCAUUCCACCCAUGGGGACUGAGUAGCUUCUGUGUGCCAGGCUGGCCACAUUGGUGUCCUGAAGAGAGCACGUAUUUUCACUGCUUCCUGCUAGGCUAUGCUAUCUUGGGGAUUGGGAAUCUUAGGCACGUGAUUUUGGAAUGAAAUAUUGCUUUAGAAGAAAGAACAAAACAUUAGCUAGUUUAGACCAGUCCAGGAUAGGAGAGGAGAUAAGCCCUGCUGAAGAGCCCUGUUGAAAUCACAAAUGCUGCAUUAUCGUGGGAUGGAGAAAGAAGAUAAGUGUAACAUUUCUGUCUUCUGCCCACAUCUACUGAGGUGAUGGAAGAUGUGACUGCCCAAGAGAAUUAAGGUUAGGAAGUUAGACCCACAUUCAGGUGUCAUGGAGGAGCCCAAGAAGCUUCAAGGUCGUCCAGUCUGUCCUGCCGCCGGUACCACCUAGUGGCAGCCAGGAAUAUGUGUCCUGCCUUCUCAGGCGUGGCCUCCUUGGCCUGCCUGGUCUUCAGCCUCAUGACUCCAGCCUUGAUGAAGACACACAGAGGAUCAGCAGACCGUCUGCGGAAAACACUGAACUCUCCUCUGAUUGUUUAUGAGGAACAUUUGACUUGUCAGUUUUCCGGAAGGAUUUAUAUAAAUGAAGGAAAGAGGAGAGGACUGCACUGGCACCUACCCCUUGGAAGUCUGUUCAGUGGUCUGCCCUCUGGAAUUGUAUUCCCUGAUGCUUUGUGGAGAUGGUUUGACCCCGACGGCUUGAU